GGAUGAACGCUAGCUACAGGCUUAACACAUGCAAGUCGAGGGGCAUCAGGAAGAAAGCUUGCUUUCUUUGCUGGCGACCGGCGCACGGGUGAGUAACACGUAUCCAACCUGCCCUUUACUCGGGGAUAGCCUUUCGAAAGAAAGAUUAAUACCCGAUAGCAUAGUGAUUCCGCAUGGUUUCAUUAUUAAAGGAUUCCGGUAAAGGAUGGGGAUGCGUUCCAUUAGGUUGUUGGUGAGGUAACGGCCCACCAAGCCUUCGAUGGAUAGGGGUUCUGAGAGGAAGGUCCCCCACAUUGGAACUGAGACACGGUCCAAACUCCUACGGGAGGCAGCAGUGAGGAAUAUUGGUCAAUGGGCGCUAGCCUGAACCAGCCAAGUAGCGUGAAGGAUGAAGGCUCUAUGGGUCGUAAACUUCUUUUAUAUAAGAAUAAAGUGCAGUAUGUAUACUGUUUUGUAUGUAUUAUAUGAAUAAGGAUCGGCUAACUCCGUGCCAGCAGCCGCGGUAAUACGGAGGAUCCGAGCGUUAUCCGGAUUUAUUGGGUUUAAAGGGAGCGUAGGUGGACUGGUAAGUCAGUUGUGAAAGUUUGCGGCUCAACCGUAAAAUUGCAGUUGAUACUGUCAGUCUUGAGUACAGUAGAGGUGGGCGGAAUUCGUGGUGUAGCGGUGAAAUGCUUAGAUAUCACGAAGAACUCCGAUUGCGAAGGCAGCUCACUGGACUGCAACUGACACUGAUGCUCGAAAGUGUGGGUAUCAAACAGGAUUAGAUACCCUGGUAGUCCACACAGUAAACGAUGAAUACUCGCUGUUUGCGAUAUACAGUAAGCGGCCAAGCGAAAGCAUUAAGUAUUCCACCUGGGGAGUACGCCGGCAACGGUGAAACUCAAAGGAAUUGACGGGGGCCCGCACAAGCGGAGGAACAUGUGGUUUAAUUCGAUGAUACGCGAGGAACCUUACCCGGGCUUAAAUUGCAGUGGAAUGAUGUGGAAACAUGUCAGUGAGCAAUCACCGCUGUGAAGGUGCUGCAUGGUUGUCGUCAGCUCGUGCCGUGAGGUGUCGGCUUAAGUGCCAUAACGAGCGCAACCCUUAUCUUUAGUUACUAACAGGUUAUGCUGAGGACUCUGGAGAGACUGCCGUCGUAAGAUGUGAGGAAGGUGGGGAUGACGUCAAAUCAGCACGGCCCUUACGUCCGGGGCUACACACGUGUUACAAUGGGGGGUACAGAAGGCAGCUAGCGGGUGACCGUAUGCUAAUCCCAAAAGCCUCUCUCAGUUCGGAUCGAAGUCUGCAACCCGACUUCGUGAAGCUGGAUUCGCUAGUAAUCGCGCAUCAGCCACGGCGCGGUGAAUACGUUCCCGGGCCUUGUACACACCGCCCGUCAAGCCAUGGGAGCCGGGGGUACCUGAAGUACGUAACCGCAAGGAUCGUCCUAGGGUAAAACUGGUGACUGGG
rnacentral:rRNA from 1 species